GAUGACCCUUGGCGGCGUGCCUAACACAUGCAAGUCGAGCGAAGCACUUUGCUUAUAUUCUUCGGAUGAAGAGGAUUGUGACUGAGCGGCGGACGGGUGAGUAACGCGUGGGUAACCUGCCUCAUACGGGGGGAUAACAGUUAGAAAUGACUGCUAAUACCGCAUAAGACCACAGCACCGCAUGGUGCGGGGGUAAAAACUCCGGUGGUAUGAGAUGGACCCGCGUCUGAUUAGCUAGUUGGUAAGGUAACGGCUUACCAAGGCGACGAUCAGUAGCCGACCUGAGAGGGUGACCGGCCACAUUGGGACUGAGACACGGCCCAAACUCCUACGGGAGGCAGCAGUGGGGAAUAUUGCACAAUGGGGGAAACCCUGAUGCAGCGACGCCGCGUGAGCGAAGAAGUAUUUCGGUAUGUAAAGCUCUAUCAGCAGGGAAGAAAAUGACGGUACCUGACUAAGAAGCACUGGCUAAAUACGUGCCAGCAGCCGCGGUAAUACGUAUGGUGCAAGCGUUAUCCGGAUUUACUGGGUGUAAAGGGAGCGUAGACGGAUGGGCAAGUCUGAUGUGAAAACCCGGGGCUCAACCCCGGGACUGCAUUGG
rnacentral:rRNA from 1 species